UACGGGGGGGGGCAAGCGUUGUUCGGAAUUACUGGGCGUAAAGGGCUCGUAGGCGGCCAACUAAGUCAGACGUGAAAUCCCUCGGCUUAACCGGGGAACUGCGUCUGAUACUGGAUGGCUUGAGUUUGGGAGAGGGAUGCGGAAUUCCAGGUGUAGCGGUGAAAUGCGUAGAUAUCUGGAGGAACACCGGUGGCGAAGGCGGGUCUCUGGGCAGUAACUGACGCUGAGGAGCGAAAGCGUGGGGAGCGAACAGG
rnacentral:rRNA from 1 species